AAGUCGUAACAAGGUCUCCGUUGGUGAACCAGCGGAGGGAUCAUUACUGAGUAUUUUACUCUCAAACCCAUGUGAACUUACCACUUGUUGCCUCGGUGGUUGGCUGCUGAUCGUCUCCCGAGAGGGUGGUGGUCUUCGGCUAUAGCCACCGGUGGACCUCCUAAACUCUUGUUUUUACUGUUUCUCUGAGUAACUACAAAAUGAAUCAAAACUUUCAACAACGGAUCUCUUGGUUCUG
rnacentral:misc_RNA from 1 species